UACGGGGGGGGCAAGCGUUGUUCGGAAUUAUUGGGCGUAAAGCGCGCGCAGGCGGUCCUUUAAGUCUGAUGUGAAAGCCCACGGCUCAACCGUGGAGGGUCAUUGGAAACUGGGGGACUUGAGUGCAGAAGAGGAGAGUGGAAUUCCACGUGUAGCGGUGAAAUGCGUAGAGAUGUGGAGGAACACCAGUGGCGAAGGCGGCUACCUGGACCAGCACUGACACUGAGGCACGAAAGCGUGGGGAGCAAACAGG
rnacentral:rRNA from 1 species